GAUGAACGCUGACAGAAUGCUUAACACAUGCAAGUCGAUUCGAUUUACCUUCGGGUAUUGAGGAUGGCGGACGGGUGAGUAACGCGUAAGGAACUUGCCUCUUGGUCUGGGACAACUGUUGGAAACGACAGCUAAUACCGGAUAUUAUGAGAUUCUCGCAUGGGAAACUUAUGAAAGCUAUAUGCGCCAAGAGAGAGCCUUGCGUUCCAUUAGCUAGUUGGUGGGGUAACGGCCCACCAAGGCGACGAUGGAUAGCCGGCCUGAGAGGGUGAACGGCCACAAGGGGACUGAGACACGGCCCUUACUCCUACGGGAGGCAGCAGUGGGGAAUAUUGGANNNNGNGNNNNAAGCCUGAUCCAGCAAUUCUGUGUGCACGAUGAAGGUCUUCGGAUUGUAAAGUGCUUUCAGUUGGGAAGAAGAAAGUGACGGUACCAACAGAAGAAGCGACGGCUAAAUACGUGCCAGCAGCCGCGGUAAUACGUAUGUCGCAAGCGUUAUCCGGAUUUAUUGGGCGUAAAGCGCGUCUAGGCGGAAAAAAUAAGUCUGAUGUUAAAAUGCGGGGCUCAACUCCGUAUUGNGUUGGAAACUGUUUUUCUAGAGUACUGNNGAGGUGGGCGGAACUACAAGUGUAGAGNUGAAAUUCGUAGANNUUUGUAGNANNGCCGAUGGAGAAGUCAGCUCACUGGACAGAUACUGACGCUAAAGCGCGAAAGC
rnacentral:rRNA from 1 species